AGUGAACGCUGGCGGUAGGCCUAACACAUGCAAGUCGAACGGCAGCACAGUAAGAGCUUGCUCUUACGGGUGGCGAGUGGCGGACGGGUGAGGAAUACAUCGGAAUCUACUUUUUCGUGGGGGAUAACGUAGGGAAACUUACGCUAAUACCGCAUACGCCCUACGGGUGAAAGCCGGUGAUCUUCGGACCUUGCGCGAUUGAAUGAGCCGAUGUCGGAUGAGCUGGUUGGCGGGGUAAUGACCCACCAAGGCGACGAUCCGUAGCCGGUCUGAGAGGAUGAUCGGCCACACUGGAACGGAGACACGGUCCAGACUACUACGGGAGGCAGCAGAGGGGAAUAUUAGACAAUGGGAGCAAGCCUGAUCCAGACAUACCGCGUGGGUGAAGAAGGCAUUCGGGUUGUAAAGCCCUUCUGUUGGGAAAGAAAAGCAGCAGGUUAAUACCGCGCUGUUCUGACGGUACCGAAAGAAUAAGCACCGGCUAACUUCGUG
rnacentral:rRNA from 1 species